ACACGGGUGUGUGGGGGGCUGAAAGGGUGGGACAGGUGGGGACUAUAGAUGGUAAAGCUCUGGAGGUCAAGAUGGGACGAUGACAGAGAGGAGACAGGGGUGAAUGGGAAGGAUCUUCAAGGAGACAGGAUUUUAGGAUUUGGUAGCUGAUUGGAUAUGAGGGUAAAGGAGGAAGGAGUUGGGGGUCGGGGAGUUGGGGAUGUAAAGUCAACUCAAACAAGGUAGGGAAGAGAGGAGGUCACUCAGGAGAGAAGCCACAAGUUGUGUUUCGGGUUGUUAAGUUUGAGGUAGCGCUGGCAGGUAGAGAAGGUGACCAGUGAGUAAUGGAAAUGGAGACUAGAGCUUGGGAGAGAGCAGUGGCCACGGAAGUCACCUCCACAGAGGUGACCACUCAACAGGAGGAGAUUUGCCAAGGUUGAGGAGCCAGAGGACAACAGGUCAAAGGUCUUGAAGAGAACUCUGGGCAACACCUAGGGUAGAACAGAAGGUCUGGGAUAUGGAGGGGCAGAGAGAUGGGAGAACUAGAUGAAGCCAUGGGAACUGACAGCUGAGAGAGGAAAAGGAUUAAGGGGCAAAAAGAAACCCUAUCAGUUUCAGAUUUCAGAUGCUAAGGAGAAAUGAAAGUUGGUCACUUUUUUGACCUUUGAAAGAAAACAUUUCCAUGGUGGGUCAAAUUUAGAAAUCAAAUUGUGAAGAGUUGAGGAGGGAUUGGUGGGAAGCAGAGGGGUAUAGGUUAUCCCCUCCCCAGGGGAUCACAGGAAAUGGAAAGACCCAUUUAGAAGGGUCUCCUCUCCUGGUCACGGAUCCCACUCUACCUCUGAGCCCCAGCUUUUUUCAUCAUUUCUCUCAACAGCAAUCCUCAGAAAAUGAUGGACUCAGCACUAUGAUAAUUCUCAUUUUAAAUAUGAUGAAAACUUAGGUGAAACUAAGGCUAGAGAAAGCCAGUAAUGGGAUCCAGGACACAGAGCUGAAACCCAGCUCUGUGCAAUGUUUUGCUGCUUCGUUCUGAAGUCCCAGCUCCACAGAUUUUUUAAAAACUUAAUUGGGUACAAAGAGACGUUAUUUCUUGCACCUAAAUUCUGGAUGGGUAACAUGCCUUAUCCCCUAACUUUUAGAUUUGUUCUGUCUUUUCCCCUUUCCCCAGGAAUACUUUGGAACUGGGGUCCUCCUUGCCAGUUUGCAGCACUUGAGAGGUCAGUCCUGCUAUCCUGGAUUCCCUAUCACCUUGGGCUUGCAGCUGACUGGACCUCCACCCUCUUGUUACCCACUUCCCCCACUAGCUCUUUCUUCCUGAUUUGAAUUAGGCAAGAUGAAGCUUUGUCACAUGGCUAAGAACUUGUGCUGUGGAGUUAGAAGUGCCUAGAAAAGAAAUCUUAGGCCGGCCACUAAUUGGACAUUUGUUUGUUUUUAGCUUUUCUGAGCUUCAAUUUCUUUGCUAGCUCUAACUCAUCCACUUGUGUUGAGAACUGCAACGCUUGAUGAAUGUUAGCCAUUAUUUUCUGCCCUCUAUUUCCAAUGUCGUGGCCUUUGGACUGCAAUUUCUUUUUCAGCUGGAUCCGAUCUCCCGCACCUUCCCUCCCCAGAGGACAGAGCCCAGCCCUUCCUCGGCUGCCCAGGAAGCUGGCCUGGGUUAUUUCUUGAGGGAUGGAGAGUUUGGGUUCUGAAAGAAGAGAAAGGAGAAACUUUCAGCUGCGGGUAGAAGUGGCCAGUGAAGAUGGGCUUGGGAAAGAGCGGUGCCCACUGUGGAGGCCAUAUGGCCACCAAAGAGAAAAGGCCCAGAUUCCCUCUCAUGUCCCCCACUCCCUGCUCAUUCCCUGGCUCAGCCAGCCAUUCUGUAAAUGUCUGGGGAGAUUCUAGUCCUUGCCAGGCAACUGGGCUAGGCAUGGGGACAGAGCAGAAGAGAGUUAACCGUGGCCUUGAGAAGCCAAGACGGAGAGGCAGACAGAAACAAGCCUCCUUAGUUACAACUCAGAGUGGGAGAUGCAAGGGCCAAGGACAGGGUGCUGUGAGGUGGGGGGAAGUGAGCAAGGGGACAGUCACUCAGCAUCAGGACGCUGGGAUCACACUCGCUCCCAUGGCCCGCUCAUUCACCCCCACUGUUCCAUCUGUUUCUUUGUUUUGCAAUCUUUAUUUCUGGCUUUGUUUUCCAUUUACUUUUCUAAUAGAGAGGCUUUGGAAAAAUUCCACACUUGUUUCAGUUGGACGAGGCAAAAAGGGAAUUGUCCACUCUUCAGCCAGAAUAGCCUAGGGGUGCCGGGUUCCUGCAGGGUCCAGGUGGACAAGUGGAGGAAGCAAGAGCUGGCCACAGGGAGGCCAGGAAAGAGCCUGCAGCCCCCAGGGAGGCUGAAAACACAGGAGGAACUGAACUUAGCUGAGAAGUCUGGGGUGACCAUGUCCCCCAUCUUCCCAGAGCUCUCCUCACACCCCACUGCCUUCUGUUCUGAUUGGAGGGGAGAGUGGAGCCCCUCCUCCUCAGAGCAUCCCGGGAAGCUGGGUUCCAUUGCUCUUUCCCCACCUGGUGAGUUUGAAAGGCCUCAGAGUUGGAAGUGAGUCUUCAACAUUAUCCAAGGUGGAGGGCUAGGUGUGUGUGUGCAUAAAAUCUUCCCUAGUCUUUCUCCCUCAAAUCCACCACAUGACCCAACUCUCAUUGUGUCCUGGGUCUCUGACACUGUUCAUUGAUUCAUUAAUUCAACAAAACAUUUAUUGAACACUCACUAUGUGCUAGAAAUUGGAGCACAUUAGUGGGAAGAGAUAGUUAUUUCAAAAGGUCGUAUAGACACCAGGAGAGAGAGAGAGAGAGAGAGAGAGAGAGAACGCACAUGAGCAUAUGUGAACAUAUAAAUAACUGUGUGCAGGUUAGGGAAGCAGGAGGAAGAAUGUUCAGAAAACUUAAGUUUGGGAGUCAGUUUGCAUUUGCAUCUAGGUGCUUAACCAUUUGGGGGUCAGGGUACUGGGGAUUAAACCUAGGGGUGCUCUCCUAUUGAGCCACAUCCUGAGCCCCUUUGUAUUCUUUAUUUUGAGACAAGGUCUAGCUAAAUUGCCAAGACUCUUCUGGAACUUGCCAUCGUCCUGCCUCAGCCUCCUGAGUUACUGGAUUACAGACAUGUGCCACUGUGCCUGCCUGGGUGCUGCCAUUCACUCCCUGUAUGAACUUAAGCUCAACAAGGACUGUGGAUGAUUUAGAGAAAUGGAUCUGAAGAAACCAGUCAAGGCAGGGUUCGCAGCGAUGACUAGCGGCUCAGAGAACAUAACUGGAUUCUGAGAGCUGGCACUCGACUCCCGGGGUAAGGCCCACAGGUGCUCGGCGGGGAGAGGUUUCUCGGCGGGGGUGGGUGGAGAUUAGCGGAGGCGAGGCGGGGCCAAUUCUGCCCGCCGCGGAGAUUCCGAGUCCGCCCGAGUCAGGGGAUUAGGGAGGGCGGAUCUUGAGGCGGGGACCGAGCCAC